GCAGCUGUGAUGAAAUGAAACAAUAGAAGGGCAUGCCGUUCUAUUAGAGUUUUUACGGUAUACAUUUCUUAAAAUUUACUACUGAUAA
rnacentral:snoRNA from 16 species